GACGAACGCUGGCGGCGUGCUUAACACAUGCAAGUCGAACGGUAAGGCCCUUCGGGGUACACGAGUUGCGAACGGGUGAGUAACACGUGGGUGAUCUGCCCUGCACUUCGGGAUAAGCCUGGGAAACUGGGUCUAAUACCGGAUAGGACCACUGCCUGCAGGGGGGGUGGUGGUAAGCGUUUGCGGUGUGGGAUGGGCCCGGGGCCUAUCAGCUUGUUGGUGGGGUGAUGGCCUACCAAGGCGACGACGGGUAGCGGGCCUGAGAGGGGGACCGGCCACACUGGGACUGAGAUACGGCCCAGACGCCUACGGGAGGCAGCAGUGGGGAAUAUUGCACAAUGGGCGCAAGCCUGAUGCAGCGACGCCGCGUGAGGGAUGAUGGCCUUCGGGUUGUAAACCUCUUUCAGCACCGACGAAGCGCAAGUGACGGUAGGUGCAGAAGAAGGACCGGCCAACUACGUGCCAGCCGCCGCCGUAA
rnacentral:rRNA from 1 species